rnacentral:rRNA from 1 species
GUGGGGAAUAUUGGACAAUGGGCGAAAGCCUGAUCCAGCCAUGCCGCGUGAACGAUGAAGGCCUUCGGGUUGUAAAGUUCUUUAGCCGAUGAUUAUAAUGACUGUAGUCGGAAAAUAAGCCCCGGCUAACUUCGUGCCAGCAGCCGCGGUAAUACGAAGGGGGCGAGCGUUAUUCGGAAUCACUGGGCGUAAAGCGUGCGUAGGCGGUUUUGUAAGUUAGGAGUGAAAGCCCAGGGCUCAACCUUGGAAUUGCUCUUAAAACUGCAAGGCUCGAAUCUCGGAGAGGAUAGCGGAAUUUCCAGUGUAGCAGUGAAAUGCGUAGAUAUUGGAAGGAACACCAGUGGCGUAAGCGGCUAUCUGGACGAGUAUUGACGCUGAGGCACGAAAGCGUGGGGAUCAAACAGGAUUAGAAACCCCGGUAGUCC